CCUACGUGAGGCAGCAGUAGGGAAUCUUCCACAAUGGGCGAAAGCCUGAUGGAGCAACGCCGCGUGGGUGAAGAAGGUCUUCGGAUCGUAAAACCCUGUUGUUAGAGAAGAAAGUGCGUGAGAGUAACUGUUCACGUUUCGAUGGUAUCUAACCAGAAAGCCACGGCUAACUACGUGCCAGCAGCCGCGGUAAUACGUAGGUGGCAAGCGUUAGCCGGAUUUAUUGGGCGUAAAGGGAACGCAGGCGGUCUUUUAAGUCUGAUGUGAAAGCCUUCGGCUUAACCGGAGUAGUGCAUUGGAAACUGGGAGACUUGAGUGCAGAAGAGGAGAGUGGAACUCCAUGUGUAGCGGUGAAAUGCGUAGAUAUAUGGAAGAACACCAGUGGCGAAAGCGGCUCUCUGGUCUGUAACUGACGCUGAGGUUCGAAAGCGUGGGUAGCAAACAGGAUUAGAUACCCCGGUAGUC
rnacentral:rRNA from 1 species